rnacentral:lncRNA from 1 species
CAUUUAGUAAUUUAGACUUUGAAGCCAUUGGAAGAAUCUUAAUUAAACCUUUUUUAGGCAUGAAAAAAUAGCUAUUACAGUGCUUGCAAAACCUAUCUUUCGCUUGGCUCAUGCGUUAUUAGGAUGAUGCUUAAAUUAUUAUUUUUUAAUGUAACUGUGUCUCCUUUGUAAGUAGAACAGCUCUAACAUCAUCACCUGUCAGGAGUUUUAGUUGUUUAAAUUGCUGAGAGCCACAAGUAGUGGUAACAAUGUUACAGGAAGGGGGAAGCUGUUACUAGACUGUCUCUAUAGUUAUCCUUUUUAUAUUUUAAAUUUGACGUUUGGUAUUCUUAAAGACCUCUGUUUGUGCUCCUGAAAUUUGACUGUUGUAAUGAUUGCAAAUGGCUAAUAACCAGGAUCUCUUCUGAGUCUGGGAACUGCUGAAGUUUGUUCUUUAGACCUGGCAGUUAUUUGCCAGUGGUUAAUAAUUAAGACAUUGCCACAGAGGUCCAAGUACCUGGAACUGGGAUUUGUUUCUGGUGACUAGUGGUGAGGAGUAGGGAAGAGUUUCUGUUGAUUUCCUGAGUCUACAUGUAUCUACUCUAGAUCCAAAGACUGACCAAGAAGUCAUGAGACUGUCCUAUCAGGUUCAGUUCUUGCUCUUUAAGAAAUUGUAAUUUCAACCACGUCUAUAAAAGAGGGAUAGAAAAAGCUCUAAGGCUGUGAUCUUAGACUUUAAAUGCUGUAGAAAUUCAUAGAAGUGAGGGAAUUAAGUGGAAAGGCUAUUGGACUGACAGAAGGCCUAAGUUUCAAAAUCUUAGAAUGCUGGAGUCAAAAGGAUGCUAAGAAUUAUCUAAUUCAACCCCUUUAUUUUUUAUUUUUUAAGAGUCAGAGUCUUACUCUGUUGCCCAGGCUGGAGCGCAGUGGUGCAGUCAUGGCCCACUGCAGCCUGGAACUCCUGGGCUCAAGCAGUCCUCCCACCUCAGCCUCCAGAGUAGCUGGGAUACAGGCACAGGCCACCGGGCCCAGCUAUCAACCCCUUUACUUUAUAGAUUAAGAAAUGUUGACUAGACAAGUGAUCUGUCCAAAUUUAAAACUAGAAAUAGAACCUUUAUCUCCCACCCUGUCUGAAUUAUUCUUUCCAUAUGUAGCUGCUUAGUUGUGUCUUUACCACUAAUUAACCAUGUGAACUCUAAGCAAGUUAUUUUACUUUUCUUCAUCUUUUUAUCUUUUGUAAAAUUAGGGGGUUAUUAUGAAUCAUUUCUAACAUCUCUGCUAAUGCCCCAGAUACUGUAAAUGACCCAGAAUGUAAUUGCGGGCAGUGUUAACUUAGCUUCCUAGAAGAUGGGGGAUAUGACUGGGCCUUGAAUAAAAUCCAAGAUUUGGCAGAGUAGAGAGGGAAAGAAUUCAUGAGAUGGGGAGCAGUAGAACAAAGGCUUAGGUGUGAAUAUGUGGCUGUAGUAAAGAGAAAUGGCCUGAUUAUAGCAAUUAUAUGAGGUUUAGUAGAACCAUUUAAGAAAGGUAAAGCCACUUCAUAGAAAUUAUUUUAUCCCUGGUUUGCUUCCUUUUUUUUUUUUUUUAAUAGCCUUGGGAAUCUUGAUUAUUUUCAAGGCUCUCUGUUUCUGUGAUCUAAUAUAGGAGACUGACAGUUUUGAAAACAUUAAUUCUCUCUCACCAAAGUAACUAUGGGGCAGAGAGAAUCACUAAUGUAACUAUAUGUGACCAGAAGAACUCUGUUGAGAAGAGAUUAUUAUUCAUCUCUGGAGAGAUAGUUUUGACUUGUGUUUAAUGAAAGAACAUGUCUGUAGGAUUAAAAAAAACUCUUAUGUUAUUUUACAUAGUGUAAGGCUAUCAACUUUUAUUAUUAAAAAUGAAAGCAGGCACUUUGGGAGGCCGAGGUACUUGCCUUCUUGAACUAUUAGAGAAGUGAUACUUUGGACCUGUUAGAGGAUCCAAUUCUAAUAUUAAGAUAGUUUUCCCCUCAUUUUAAUUAUAAUUGGGAAAUAAGGUUUAUUGGAAAGCAGACUCACCAACAGUUUUAGACAGUUGUGCAGGACAUUAAGUUAGUUGCUUUACAUUUAUAAGUAAAUUAUUUCAAAUUUAUAAGCAAAUUAUUGAAAUACAGAAUGGACUACAGUUACUACUGUUCUUUAUACGGCAUUUCUAACUUGUGCUUGACACUGGCCACUGCCUAGAAUCUUUCAUUGUUCCCGGGUGGGGUUAGGAAAAAGAUGCUGAUUUUGGAAGGCAGGGGUAGAUUGAUAGAACUCUUUUAAUUAGGAAUAAAAGAUAUUGGACU